CAAGCGGUGGAUGAUGUGGAUUAAUUCGAUGCAACGCGAAAAACCUUACCUACCCUUGACAUGUCAGGAAUCUUGGAGAGAUUCGAGAGUGCCCGAAAGGGAACCUGAACACAGGUGCUGCAUGGCUGUCGUCAGCUCGUGUCGUGAGAUGUUGGGUUAAGUCCCGCAACGAGCGCAACCCUUGUCAUUAGUUGCUACGAAAGAGCACUCUAAUGAGACUGCCGGUGACAAACCGGAGGAAGGUGGGGAUGACGUCAAGUCCUCAUGGCCCUUAUGGGUAGGGCUUCACACGUCAUACAAUGGUACAUACAGAGGGCCGCCAACCCGCGAGGGGGAGCUAAUCCCAGAAAGUGUAUCGUAGUCCGGAUUGUAGUCUGCAACUCGACUGCAUGAAGUUGGAAUCGCUAGUAAUCGCGGAUCAGCAUGUCGCGGUGAAUACGUUCCCGGGUCUUGUACACACC
rnacentral:rRNA from 1 species